UACAGAGGUCUCAAGCGUUGUUCGGAUUCAUUGGGCGUAAAGGGUGCGUAGGCGGCGCGGUAAGUCAGGGGUGAAAGUUUUCGGCCCAACCGGAAAAUGGCCUUUGAUACUGGCGAGCUCGAGUGCGUGAGGGGUAACCGGAACGAGCAGUGUAGCGGUGAAAUGCGUAGAUAUUGCUCGGAAGGCCAACGGCGAAGGCAGGUUACUGGUGCGCAACUGACACUGAGGCACGAAAGCGUGGGGAGCAAACAGG
rnacentral:rRNA from 1 species